GCUGGUGUGGCAGAGCCAGGAAAAAUGCAAAAGACUUAAACCCUUUAACCAGACGUUCAAACCGUCUCGCCAGGA
rnacentral:tRNA from 1 species